AUGGGCACCAGGCUCCUCGGCUGUGCAGCCCUGUGUCUCCUGGCAGCAGACUCUUUUCAUGCCAAAGUCACACAGACUCCAGGACAUUUGGUCAAAGGAAAAGGACAGAAAACAAAGAUGGAUUGUACCCCCGAAAAAGGACAUACUUUUGUUUAUUGGUAUCAACAGAAUCAGAAUAAAGAGUUUAUGCUUUUGAUUUCCUUUCAGAAUGAACAAGUUCUUCAAGAAACGGAGAUGCACAAGAAGCGAUUCUCAUCUCAAUGCCCCAAGAACGCACCCUGCAGCCUGGCAAUCCUGUCCUCAGAACCGGGAGACACGGCACUGUAUCUCUGCGCCAGCAGUCAAUC